rnacentral:rRNA from 1 species
ACUGAACGCUGGCGGCAGGCUUAACACAUGCAAGUCGAGCGGGGUGAUGGUGCUUGCACUAUCACUUAGCGGCGGACGGGUGAGUAAUGCUUAGGAAUCUGCCUAUUAGUGGGGGACAACAUCUCGAAAGGGAUGCUAAUACCGCAUGCGUCCUACGGGAGAAAGCAGGGGAUCACUUGUGACCUUGCGCUAAUAGAUGAGCCUAAGUCGGAUUAGCUAGUUGGUGGGGUAAAGGCCUACCAAGGCGACGAUCUGUAGCGGGUCUGAGAGGAUGAUCCGCCACCCUGGGACUGAGACACGGCCCAGACUCCUACGGGAGGCAGCAGUGGUGAAUAUUGGACAAUGGGGGGAACCCUGAUCUAGCCAUGCCGCGUGUGUGAAGAAGGCCUUAUGGUUGUAAAGCACUUUAAGCGAGGAGGAGGCUCUUUUGGUUAAUACCCAAGAUGAGUGGACGUUACUCGCAGAGUAAGCACCGGCUAACUCUGUGCCAGCCGCCGCGGUAA